rnacentral:rRNA from 1 species
UACGGGGGGGGCAAGCGUUGUUCGGAAUUACUGGGCGUAAAGGGCUCGUAGGUGGCCAACUAAGUCAGACGUGAAAUCCUCCGGCUCAACCGGAGAACUGCCAUGGAUACUGGGUGUCUCGAGGGUGGUAGGGGUAUGCGGAACUAUUGGUGGAGCGGUGAAAUGCGUUGAUAUCAAUAGGAACUCCGGUGGCGAAGGCGGCAUACUGGACCACUUCUGACGCUGAGGCGCGAAAGCCAGGGGAGCAAACGGG